rnacentral:rRNA from 1 species
GACGAACGCUGGCGGCGUGCUUAACACAUGCAAGUCGAACGGUAAGGCCCUUCGGGGUACACGAGUGGCGGACGGGUGAGUAACACGUGGGUGAUCUGCCCUGCACUUCGGGAUAAGCCUGGGAAACUGGGUCUAAUACCGGAUAGGACCACUGCCUGCAUGGGGGGUGGUGGAAAGCUUUUGCGGUGUGGGAUGGGCCCGCGGCCUAUCAGCUUGUUGGUGGGGUGAUGGCCUACCAAGGCGACGACGGGUAGCCGGCCUGAGAGGGUGACCGGCCACACUGGGACCGAGAUACGGCCCAGACUCCUACGGGAGGCAGCAGUGGGGAAUAUUGCACAAUGGGCGCAAGCCUGAUGCAGCGACGCCGCGUGAGGGAUGACGGCCUUCGGGUUGUGAACCUCUUUCAGCACCGACGAAGCGCAAGUGACGGUAGGUGCAGAAGAAGGACCGGCCAACUACGUGCCAGCAGCCGCCGUAA